GAUGAACGCUGGCGGCGUGCCUAAUACAUGCAAGUCGAGCGAAUGGAUUAAGAGCUUGCUCUUAUGAAGUUAGCGGCGGACGGGUGAGUAACACGUGGGUAACCUGCCCAUAAGACUGGGAUAACUCCGGGAAACCGGGGCUAAUACCGGAUAACAUUUUGAACCGCAUGGUUCGAAAUUGAAAGGCGGCUUCGGCUGUCACUUAUGGAUGGACCCGCGUCUCAUUAGCUAGUUGGUGAGGUAACGACUCACCAAGGCAACGAUGCGUAGCCGACCUGAGAGGGUGAUAGGCCACACUGGAACUGAGAGGCGGCACAGACUCCUACGGGAGGCAGCAGUAGGGAAUCUUGCGAAAUGGACGAAAGUCUUACGGAGCAACGCCGCGUGAGUGAUUAAGGCUUUCGGGUCGUAAAACUCUGUUGUUAGGGAAGAACAAGUGCUAGUUGAAUAAGCUGGCACCUUGACGGUACCUAACCAGAAAGCCACGGCUAACUACGUGCCAGCCGCCGCAGUAA
rnacentral:rRNA from 1 species